ACGGCCAGUUGUGACGCUCUCUACAUCACGUGGCUUUUUCUGCUUCCCAAUCACGUGGUCACUGCCGCGGCGCGACCGUUUAAACAGCCGACACCUUGUUGAACUUUGGUGACGCUAUUAUGAGGGACGUUUAAUAUCUACUAAAAACAAAGAAAAAGUCCAACUCGACGUGGCCACUUCACCAAACUGAGAUGGAAAACCUGCAGAGGUCAUCAGAGGAAGCAUAGCGAGGUGUAAAAGCAUUGCAUAUACAAAAACUUCUUAAUGUGAAAGAGAUGCACAAAAAGAUCACAACUCGGGCAGAAGUCGUGACUGGCAGUUGUGAAAGUUCCUAACAACUGGCCCACCUUUCUGGUAUUGAAUUGCACGCAGGAGUAUUCCCACUUCUGGUACUGCUCUGAUACUACCUCCAAAGGUGGAAAAUUGCUUUCCCCCCCAUGUAUCCCUAUUUUUACUGAACGGGCACAUGGAGAAAAAUGUAAAAACGGUGACCUGCAGAUGGAUAAUUUAAUGCAUGACAAUGUCAGUGCUACUUGUUUAACGGCGACAAAUACACAAGUGCAUGGGUGUCACGUGUGAAACUGAAACGAUUAGUCGACUAACUCGACUAGAAAAACAGUCAAAUCUGUCUCGAAGCGGUUUUCCAACACGCACUAAUGUUACUGCAGACACGCACACACCACUCUGAAAGUAAUAGGUUGGCACCACGGCAAAAGGAAAAAAAAGAGAAUCUCCAAAGUUUGUGAUCAUUUCACACUUAAAAAAGAAGAUAACAAAAAUUGCCAUUUUUUUUACUAAAUAGCAGAGGUGGAAAAUUUUGGCUUUUAUCGGUAGUACCGUUAUCAUAGCAGCUAUUUGUUAUUCUGACCGACAGUGUCCCGAUUUUUUAAUACUUCUUCCGUCGCUCAGUGCGUGCAUCCUAACAAUGUGGCGUUCAAAGUCUGUCUUACUGGAGUGCAAAUGAGAUUUUUUUUUAAAAAUGCCACAUCUAAGCUAACAUCCCCUCCCCCACCGCUUAGGUGGGGUCAUCCCCGUUUGGAGUAACUGAAUGACAUCAGUUGUGGAAUUUGAUGUGCUCGCUUUUGAGAGGGAACGAUGAAAGGCAUCUCUAUCUCCGCUGCAUCAAUGGAUGUGCCCAGGGCCAAACUAGCCCGACACCGCCUCCUGUUUUUCGCACCAUGUCCUAUUUACUUAUUUAUCCAUCCUACUACUGGCGUCUUAUCUCACCCAAUGAAAUGAAUCCUUCUCUAAAAAUAUCUGGAGGAAGUGUCGCUCCCUUUCCUGCUGACAAGUGGGAAGGAAGACGUUCAUGGAACUGAAGCCAGAUUUCACGCUGGCCAUCGCUGUUUGUUGUGUGGGGUGUUGAUGCUGGAUGGAGUGGGUUCAAGUCAACACGCAAAUUUGCCAGUAUAUUACGUAGUGUGAGGGGACUUGCACCAGAGAGUGAAGUUUAACACCCGAGACUCACAGCCCACUAAGGGUUGCAUGACUAACGACGUUUUGUAGUUGAAGCUAAUGUGAUGAAACUGGGCUCGACGUCGAUUAGUCACAGAGGUGUCAAGUAACGAAGUGCAAAUACUUACCCCAAAUUUCUACUUAAGUACGGUAAUCGACACUUGACUGGAGUGUUUAUUUUUCCGCCAGCUUUGCACUUCUACACCUUACUCUUGAGAAAGCCUCUCAGAUUCCCCCCAAAAAAGCAUCUCACCGCUCGUAUCCUGUUUGAUGGCAAGUUGUUUGCGCGUGUGUUAGCCCUUUUGCCCUGGAGGUUUAGCCCUUUACCAACACAAUCACCACUCACUGAAUGAACCUGUUCACGGUGUGUGUGUGUGUGUGAGACCUUGUGAUUGCACCCCGGUGUGAUGCCGAUUACUUGUCAGCAGCUUUUGUACACACAAACACACACACACACACACACAGUGACACUAACACAAAUAUCACCAACUAGCCACUGGGCAGGUCACCGUCGUUUGCUGGAAGCAUAUUGCUUUUUAAUGGAGUGAAAAGACACACGCACGCACACACACGAAUGGCUACAUGCAGGUACGCGUCGUAAAUUGUCCAUUAAGGACGGGAUUAGGAGAACCCAGGAGUCUGACAUCGAGAAUGUUUGUGAGUCAUUAGAGACGGAUUUUAGGCUAUUUUGUUGUCUGGCGUCCAUUGAUACUGAGUGACAUACUGUUUUACAACACACGCACACAAACUUGCAGUCUCAGUACAAAAGCACUAAAACACACACACACACACACAAAAUUAAAAAAAAAAAAAAUCAUCAUUCUAUGAACUCUCCAACACAGCAGGAGGCAUAUUUGGAGAA